rnacentral:rRNA from 1 species
UACGUAGGGGGCAAGCGUUAUCCGGAUUCAUUGGGCGUAAAGAGCGCGUAGGCGGCUUGUUAAGUCAGAUGUGAAAACCGGGGGCUUAACCCGCGGCCUGCAUCUGAAACUGGCAGGCUUGAGUCUGGUAGAGGAAAGUGGAAUUCCCAGUGUAGCGGUGAAAUGCGCAGAUAUUGGGAGGAACACCAGUGGCGAAGGCGGCUUUCUGGGCCACGACUGACGCUGAGGAGCGAAAGCUAGGGGAGCGAACAGG